UCCUUUUCUUUCAAGUUCAAUAUUGUUGGUCAGGUAUUCUUAUGACGAUAAAUAUUAUAGACUUUCAGCAUCCUUCAGUUUUCACUGCAAGGUCAAACUUGUGUGGGAUUUAGGUCUCUGAUAACUCAAUUUGGUGGAGACUUGAACUAAGGGCUUUAGAUUCAUGAUGGUGUUUAUAGUAGAGGAUCGAGUUUCAACUGAUUUCCCCAUUGAUUUGAUUUUGUUACUAGCUUAUGGUUCAAUUCCUUCUGUAACACCACCUCAGUGGCAGGAUAAGGCUUCUGGUUUCUUUUCUUCCUCAGCUUAAAGAAGCCAGGGAGUUGGUAGGAUACAAAGAGUAAUGUUGUUGAAGUGGCGGGACGAGUUGGAACGAUAGUCAAAAGUCGGUGGGCACUUCUUCCGCAUCCAUCCACAAGAUAUGCUGUACAGGAUCGAAUGAUAUCAGCUGCUGCUACAGCUGGUGUGUUCCUGAGGAGAGGUUUGUCCUGUUCCUGAGGAGAGGUUUGUCGGGGACAACAGAAAAGGUGGUUGUUGGAAAAUCCACCGUUGAAGAGGUAAUGUGAUUGUGUAAAUGAUUAGAGAUUGAGAUGUAUGCUUCUAUAUUAGGACUGAAAUGCAUAAUGAUUAGGUUUCGUUUUUUCACCAUUUUGAUAGCAAAAUCUUGAAUAAACAAUGUGGCCAUUUUGGUUAAUGUUAAUGCAAGGUGAAUCCUUUUUUUAGAAAUUUGAAGGAUUGAAGUUACUAAUCGAUUUAGACUGAAAUUUCCUGUAUUUUCAGACAGAGGAAACAAAGGAUGGUGAUAUAAAUGGACCAAAAGGAAUUAUCAGUGUUGUUGGAAUGUCUGGUAUUGCUGGAUGGGGUUACAUACUCGGAAUUACCUUUGCUGCUGUUACCGACAUUCCUUACCUUUUGAACGAAUAACGAGGCUGGUGGAUAUGCCAUUGCUGAAUUAUUUUAUCUUGCAUUUAAGAGAAAAUUUGGCCAUGGAGUAAAUUGGUGGCAUUAUUUGCUUGGGAAUCGUUGUUGUUGCUAUAUUGAUCCCUUUAUUAUGGGACUAAAAUUGUAUGGACUUUAUCUCUUUAGCUUGUAUUUUAAAGAGACUAAAGAGCAUGUUUGAUUUAGUUUUGGUUUUUAGUUUUCAAAUACUCUUUUACAAAUCAAUUUUUAAAAAUCCUUUUUAAAAAAUUGAAAACAAAACCUGUUUAGGAAUCAAAAUUUUGAAAACUAUUUUAAGGU